rnacentral:tRNA from 1 species
GGGGAUGUGGCUCAGAGGUAGAGUGCUUGCCUAGCCUGCCUGAAGCCCUGGUUCAAGACCCAGCAUCACCA